rnacentral:lncRNA from 1 species
CAUGGGCCAUGAGAUCUGAGGUCAGAGGAAAGGCACCUGGGUUGUGUAUUCUGCAGUCAGACACAUGAAACACCAGCUUGUCUGCGUGCUGUGGACUUUGCUGAGCAACACGGCCAUAUUAAGUGCAUUGCAAAGAACAUCAUUCAUGACCCUGGCUAUGGCACUCCCUUGUAAAGGGUGGCCUUUCAUGAUCCCUACCCAUCUAAGAAGCGGAGGAAGCUGUUCACCCCUGCAGGGGGAAUCCACACCUGGCAAUCUGUGUACUGAGGCACAAAGGCCCACACAGUAGCAGCAAUGCUUUGCCCAUGGGCACUACUGCUGAAGGUACUGUGAUGUGUUGUCUGGAGGAGAAUCCUGGGAAGAGGCAAGCUGGCACAAGCCUCCAGGAUUUCUCCCACAAUCAUCUCCCAUGACUGUGGAGCCCAAGAAGACCCAACUAAAGCUUCCUUCAGGAUCCAAGGUGAUUUUCUCAGCCAUGAGAGCUAUUGUUGGCAUGGUUGCCAGGGGAGACAGAAUUGACAAACUUAACUGUCUCUGUGUACCACAAGUACAAGGCAAACAGGAAAUGCUGGACAUGUGUCCAAGGCCUGGCCAUGAAUACUGCAGAUCAUCCCUUUGGAUGUGGUAACCACCCACACAUUUGCAGGCCCUCUAUUAUUUAAAGAGAUGCCCCUUCUGGGUGCAAACCGGGUCUCAUUGCAUGCAUACUGCAGAUAUUCAUACACAGGUGCGCACAAGCAAAGUUUUACAA